AUUGAACGCUGGCGGCAUGCCUUACACAUGCAAGUCGAACGGUAACGCGGGGCAACCUGGCGACGAGUGGCGAACGGGUGAGUAAUGCAUCGGAACGUACCCAGUAGUGGGGGAUAGCCCGGCGAAAGCCGGAUUAAUACCGCAUACGACCUAAGGGUGAAAGCGGGGGACCGUAAGGCCUCGCGCUAUUGGAGCGGCCGAUGUCAGAUUAGGUAGUUGGUGGGGUAAAGGCCUACCAAGCCUUCGAUCUGUAGCUGGUCUGAGAGGACGACCAGCCACACUGGGACUGAGACACGGCCCAGACUCCUACGGGAGGCAGCAGUGGGGAAUUUUGGACAAUGGGCGAAAGCCUGAUCCAGCCAUGCCGCGUGCGGGAAGAAGGCCUCGGUGUAACGAC
rnacentral:rRNA from 1 species